rnacentral:rRNA from 1 species
ACGGUCCUAAGGUAGCGAAAUUCCUUGUCGGGUAAGUUCCGACCUGCACGAAUGGCGUAACGACGGGGGCGCUGUCUCCACCAUAGACUCAGUGAAAUCGAAAUCGCGGUGAAGAUGCCGUGUUCCCGCGGCUAGACGGAAAGACCCCGUGAACCUUUACUAUAGCUUGGCACUGAACUUUGAAUCUAUCUGUGUAGGAUAGGUGGGAGGCUUUGAAGCGUUAUCGCUAGAUAGCGUGGAGCCACCCUUGAAAUACCACCCUGGUAUAUUUGAGGUUCUAACUCUGACCCAUUAUCUGGGUCGAGGACAGUGUCUGGUGGGUAGUUUGACUGGGGCGGUCUCCUCCCAAAGAGUAACGGAGGAGCGCGAAGGUACACUCAGCAUGGUCGGAAAUCAUGCUAUGAGCGCAAAGGUAGAAGUGUGCUUGACUGCGAGACUGACACGUCGAGCAGGUACGAAAGUAGGUCUUAGUGAUCCGGUGGUUCUGUAUGGAAGGGCCAUCGCUCAACGGAUAAAAGGUACUCCGGGGAUAACAGGCUGAUACCGCCCAAGAGUUCAUAUCGACGGCGGUGUUUGGCACCUCGAUGUCGGCUCAUCACAUCCUGGGGCUGGAGCUGGUCCCAAGGGUAUGGCUGUUCGCCAUUUAAAGUGGUACGCGAGCUGGGUUCAGAACGUCGUGAGACAGUUCGGUCCCUAUCUGCCGUGGGCGUUGGAAAAUUGAGGAAAGCUGCUCCUAGUACGAGAGGACCGGAGUGGACGAACCCCUGGUGUUUGGGUUGUCAUGCCAAUGGCAUUGCCCAGUAGCUACGUUCGGACGGGAUAACCGCUGAAAGCAUCUAAGCGGGAAGCCUCUUCCAAGAUUAAUUUUCCCUGGGAGUUUAACUCCCCUGAAGGGCCGUUCAAGACUAGGACGUUGAUAGGUUGGGUGUGGAAGCGCUGCGAGGCGUUGAGCUAACCAAUACUAAUUGCCCGUGAGGCUUGACCAU